rnacentral:lncRNA from 1 species
CCAUGAACUAUUGAGAUACUGACCUCAAUUUGCUCGUUUUUACAGAAAAUUGAGGUAGCAGAAUUAAGUGACUUGGCCAGGUCACACUGCUAGUAAGUGUCUGAGACCAGAUUUGAACUCAGGAAAAU